rnacentral:rRNA from 1 species
GGAUUUAUUGGGCGUAAAGCGCGUGUAGGCGGUUUGUUAAGUCUGAUGUGAAAGCCCCGGGCUCAACCUGGGAAGUGCAUUGGAAACUGGCAGACUUGAAUACGGGAGAGGGUAGUGGAAUUCCUAGUGUAGGAGUGAAAUCCGUAGAUAUUAGGAGGAACACCGGUGGCGAAGGCGGCUACCUGGACCGAUAUUGACGCUGAGACGCGAAAGCGUGGGUAGCAAACAGGAUUAGAUACCCUGGUAGUCCACGCCGUAAACGAUGAGUACUAGGUGUUGCGGGUAUUGAC